UGCCGCUGUAGCUCAGUUGGUAGAGCAAUGGACUGAAAAUCCAUGUGUCAUCAGUUCGAUUCUGAUCGGCGGCAU
rnacentral:tRNA from 2 species